rnacentral:rRNA from 1 species
CCUACGGGAGGCAGCAGUGGGGAAUUUUGGACAAUGGGCGCAAGCCUGAUCCAGCCAUGCCGCGUGCAGGAUGAAGGCCUUCGGGUUGUAAACUGCUUUUGUACGGAACGAAAAGGUCUGCCCUAAUACGGUGGGCCCAUGACGGUACCGUAAGAAUAAGCACCGGCUAACUACGUGCCAGCAGCCGCGGUAAUACGUAGGGUGCAAGCGUUAAUCGGAAUUACUGGGCGUAAAGCGUGCGCAGGCGGUAAUGUAAGACAGAUGUGAAAUCCCCGGGCUCAACCUGGGAACUGCAUUUGUGACUGCAUUGCUGGAGUGCGGCAGAGGGGGAUGGAAUUCCGCGUGUAGCAGUGAAAUGCGUAGAUAUGCGGAGGAACACCGAUGGCGAAGGCAAUCCCCUGGGCCUGCACUGACGCUCAUGCACGAAGACGGUGGGGAGGACGAACAGGAGUAGAUACCGUACGGUAGUACCGACCGACCCGUAACCGACUGUCACUGGUUGGUUGGGUUCGUUCUAUUGUAC